UCUCUGCUGGCUCAGUGGUAGAGAAUCUGCUUGUCAAGCAUAAGACACAAGUUUGAUCCUUGGGUUGAGAA
rnacentral:tRNA from 1 species